rnacentral:miRNA from 1 species
CAACAUUAUUUCUGUUUUCCAA